rnacentral:rRNA from 1 species
CGGAGGAAAAGAAACCAACAGGGAUUGCCUCAGUAACGGCGAGUGAAGCGGCAACAGCUCAAAUUUGAAAUCUGACCCCCUCGGGGCCCGAGUUGUAAUUUGUAGAGGGUGUUUCGGGCGCGGCGCCGGUCUAAGUUCCUUGGAACAGGACGUCAUAGAGGGUGAGAAUCCCGUAUGCGACCGGCGAUCAAGCUCAUGUGAAGCCCCUUCGACGAGUCGAGUUGUUUGGGAAUGCAGCUCAAAAUGGGUGGUAAAUUCCAUCUAAAGCUAAAUAUUGGCCGGAGACCGAUAGCGGACAAGUAGAGUGAUCGAAAGAUGAAAAGCACUUUGGAAAGAGAGUCAAACAGUACGUGAAAUUGUUGAAAGGGAAGCGCUUGCCACCAGACCGGUCCGGGGGUGAUCAGCCGCUGCUCGUCAGCUGGUGCACUCGCCCUCGAUUCCGGCCAGCAUCGGUUUGGGCGGCGGGAGAAAAGCCCCGGGAAUGUAGCUUCUUUCGGGGAGUCUUAUAGCCCGGGGCGCAAUGCCGCCCGCCCGGACCGAGGACCGCGCUUCGGCUAGGAUGCUGGCGUAAUGGUUGCAAGCGACCCGUCUUGAAACACGGACCAAGGAGUCUAACAUCUAUGCGAGUGUUUGGGUGUCAAACCCAGGCGCGGAAUGAAAGUGAACGGAGGUGGGAGCCCGUCGCACGGCGCACCAUCGACCGAUCCAGAUGUCUUCGGAUGGAUUUGAGUAUGAGCAUAGCUGUUGGGACCCGAAAGAUGGUGAACUAUGCCCGGAUAGGGUGAAGCCAGAGGAAACUCUGGUGGAGGCUCGCAGCGGUUCUGACGUGCAAAUCGAUCGUCAAAUCUAGGCAUAGGGGCGAAAGACCA